rfam:Hordeum vulgare subsp. vulgare, WGS project CAJW01000000 data, contig: morex_contig_1912528
UGGAGUAUAGUCAAGUGGUAAGGCAUUGGUUUUUGGUAUGGGCAUGCAAAGAUUCGAAUCAUUUUACUCCAG